GCUCAGGUGGUGGAAUUUGGUAGACACACACGUUUGAGGGGCGUGUGCCGCAAGGCGUAUGGGUUCGAGUCCCAUCUUGAGCA
rnacentral:tRNA from 1 species